UCCCAACUCUCUCUAAUCACUCCCAAGCCAUUCUAAAUUCGAGCAAUAUCAGAUUUUCGGCCAGAUUCAGCAAGCUCCACUAAAAAGGACUUGGUGUUCCAAACUCCUAAUCAAUCAACUCACUCGCGGGAUUAUCAAGUAGAAGACUUGCAAAACCGUGAGUAUACUCGCAACCCCCUUUUUAUGUUUACCACUUUUUGGGAUGUCGUCUAGCUCCUCCAAGAGACGCAAGUCAAAGAAGGGUUCGACUUCCACCGCCAUGUCUCAAAAAGAUUGCAUGAAAUUUAUGGCCAAGCAAUUUGCUAAAGUCCUACCCGACAUCGUUAGCAAGAUUCAAACCGAUUCACCGCAUGGCUCUGUUGACUCAAAGGCAGACAAACCUAAACCGACCUUCCAGUUUAAGCAAUUCAUGGCUUGUAAACCCUUAGAAUUUACUGGCAAGAAUGGCGCUACCGCCAUGAUGAACUGGUUUGAUGCCAUCGAGCUUACCUUCUUGCAAAGUGGUUGCCCUGACGAACUAAGAACCUUGAAUGCAACUGGGGUGUUUCGUGAAAAGGCACUCGAGUGGUGGACGA
rnacentral:lncRNA from 1 species